rnacentral:rRNA from 1 species
GAUGAACGCUGGCGGCGUGCUUAACACAUGCAAGUCGAACGAUGAACCGGGUGCUUGCACUCGGGGAUUAGUGGCGAACGGGUGAGUAACACGUGAGCAACCUGCCCCUGACUCUGGGAUAAGCGCUGGAAACGGCGUCUAAUACUGGAUAUGUCCCGUCACCGCAUGGUGUGCGGGUGGAAAGAUUUUUUGGUUGGGGAUGGGCUCGCGGCCUAUCAGCUUGUUGGUGAGGUAAUGGCUCACCAAGGCGUCGACGGGUAGCCGGCCUGAGAGGGUGACCGGCCACACUGGGACUGAGACACGGCCCAGACUCCUACGGGAGGCAGCAGUGGGGAAUAUUGCACAAUGGGCGGAAGCCUGAUGCAGCAACGCCGCGUGAGGGAUGACGGCCUUCGUGUUGUAAACCUCUUUUAGCAGGGAAGAAGCGAGAGUGACGGUACCUGCAGAAAAAGCACCGGCUAACUACGUGCCAGCCGCCGCCGUAA